UACACACCGCCCGUCACAUCAUGGAAGUCGCCCGCUCCCGAACUGCAAUCGCAAUUUAUUGCGAAGCCCUAAGGAGCGGGUGGUAACUGGGAUG
rnacentral:rRNA from 1 species